rnacentral:rRNA from 1 species
AGUGAACGCUGGCGGUAGGCCUAGCACAUGCAAGUCGAACGGCAGCACAGUAAGAGCUUGCUCUUACGGGUGGCGAGUGGCGGACGGGUGAGGAAUACAUCGGAAUCUACUUUUUCGUGGGGGAUAACGUAGGGAAACUUACGCUAAUACCGCAUAUGACCUACGGGUGAAAGCAGGGGAUCUUCGGACCUUGCGCGAUUGAAUGAGCCGAUGUCGGAUUAGCUAGUUGGCGGGGUAAAGGCCCACCAAGGCGACGAUCCGUAGCUGGUCUGAGAGGAUGAUCAGCCACACUGGAACUGAGACACGGUCCAGACUCCUACGGGAGGCAGCAGUGGGGAAUAUUGGACAAUGGGCGCAAGCCUGAUCCAGCCAUACCGCGUGGGUGAAGAAGGCCUUCGGGUUGUAAAGCCCUUUUGUUGGGAAAGAAAAGCAGCAGGUUAAUACCCCGCUGUUCUGACGGUACCCAAAGAAUAAGCACCGGCUAACUUCGUG